rnacentral:rRNA from 1 species
UGGGGAAUAUUGGACAAUGGGGGGAACCCUGAUCCAGCCAUGCCGCGUGUGUGAAGAAGGCCUUAUGGUUGUAAAGCACUUUAAGCGAGGAGGAGGGUACUGGUAUUAAUACUACCAGCUACUGGACGUUACUCGCAGAAUAAGCACCGGCUAACUCUGUGCCAGCAGCCGCGGUAAUACAGAGGGUGCGAGCGUUAAUCGGAUUUACUGGGCGUAAAGCGUGCGUAGGCGGCUAAUUGAGUCGGAUGUGAAAUCCCCGAGCUUAACUUGGGAAUUGCAUUCGAUACUGGUUAGCUAGAGUGUGGGAGAGGAUGGUAGAAUUCCAGGUGUAGCGGUGAAAUGCGUAGAGAUCUGGAGGAAUACCGAUGGCGAAGGCAGCCAUCUGGCCUAACACUGACGCUGAGGUACGAAAGCAUGGGUAGCAAACAGG